CAAGCACUCUGAGGGAACAGGUGUCCCCUCUGUCUGCCUGUGGUCGAGGUCCUGUAGUGGAAGCAUGGGAAAGGGCAGCCACCGCAGAGGUUCUACCCCAGCGGACAGUCUGCAGUGAGACAAGAGGGAUUUUGCGCCUUGUGGUGAGCAGGUCACUGAGAAGAGAGAUCAAAAGAGCAGCAGUGUCAGCCCUGGAGCAUGCUGCUCAUCAGUGUGGCCUGUGAUCAAUGGUGCAGGUGUGGUGGAGAGCAGCAGGGCAGCGGAGGGCCUGCUGCCCCUGCCCCGCCUGUGGCCGAGGAGGACGGCGUCGAUUAAUCACACUGAAGCCUGCUGGAGCGCACUCAUAAAUCGCCCCGGUGCUCCUUAAACAGGAGAGUCCCAGGGCGCAGCGCCGUCAUUUAUCAACACUCUCCCCUCCGGAUGAGGAGUAAAUAAAACUCUGAAUAUGUAACGGAGGGGAGGAGGGGGUGUCCUGGGAUGUAGAGCAUAUCCAGUAGUGUAAUGGUAAAUAAAGAAAUGCCUAAACUCUGA